GACGAACGCUGGCGGCGUGCUUAACACAUGCAAGUCGAACGGAAAGGCCCUGCUUUUGUGGGGUGCUCGAGUGGCGAACGGGUGAGUAACACGUGAGUAACCUGCCCUUGACUUUGGGAUAACUUCAGGAAACUGGGGCUAAUAUCGGAUAGGAGCUCCUGCUGCAUGGUGGGGGUUGGAAAGUUUCGGCGGUUGGGGAUGGACUCGCGGCUUAUCGGCUUGUUGGUGGGGUAGUGGCUUACCAAGGCUUUGACGGGUAGCCGACCUGAGAGGGUGACCGGCCACAUUGGGACUGAGAUACGGCCCAGACUCCUACGGGAGGCAGCAGUGGGGAAUAUUGCACAAUGGGCGGAAGCCUGAUGCAGCAACGCCGCGUGCGGGAUGACGGCCUUCGGGUUGUAAACCGCUUUCGCCUGUGACGAAGCGUGAGUGACGGUAAUGGGUAAAGAAGCACCGGCUAACUACGUG
rnacentral:rRNA from 1 species